AGAAAUGUAGCUCAGUGGUAGAGUGCUUGCCUAGCAUGCACAAGGUCCUGGGUUCAAUUCCCAGUGCUACAG
rnacentral:tRNA from 2 species